UGGGAAUCUUGCGCAAUGGGCGAAAGCCUGACGCAGCCAUGCCGCGUGGAUGAUGAAGGUCUUAGGAUUGUAAAAUCCUUUCACCGGUGAAGAUAAUGACUGUAGCCGGAGAAGAAGCCCCGGCUAACUUCGUGCCAGCAGCCGCGGUAAUACGAAGGGGGCUAGCGUUGCUCGGAAUUACUGGGCGUAAAGGGAGCGUAGGCGGACAUUUAAGUCAGGGGUGAAAUCCCCGGAGCUCAACUCCCGGGAAACUGCCUUUGAUACUGGAUGUCUUGAGUGUGAGAGAGGUGAGUGGAACUCCGAGUGUAGAGGUGAAAUUCGUAGAUAUUCGGAAGAACACCAGUGGCGAAGGCGACUCACUGGCUCAUUACUGACGCUGAGGCUCGAAAAGCGU
rnacentral:rRNA from 1 species